ACUAGUUGAUGGGGUAAACGACAGUUUACCCAUAAAUAUAUAAUAGACUAAACAUGUAUCUCCAUUUACUCCAACCCUAUCGGCUAGCUUCUCUCUCUCCGCAUACAAAUCUGGAUCUAGAUGCAUCCGGCGCUCUCUCCGGUGGAAUUUUGCCACGGCAAAUUGGCAAAAUUGCACCGGCGCUCUCUCGCACCUUCACAGGCAGUCUCUAUUCUCUUUCUCUCAGUCCCUGAUGCAUCCAGAUCUAGAUGUGGGCAAAAAUCAGCAGCCAACGACCUCCAGAUUCAAUCUCUCAGUCCCUGAUGCAUCCGGAUCUGGACCUUAUAUCAAGCACUCGGAAACCAGAUUCAAUCUCGUUGUUCUUCAUAUUAUUGUGGUUGAUGGAUGGGACGGAAAACCAGAAGAAGGC